CUUUGAUGAAGCUUUUUACUAGCGCUAGCCUUUUAAGCUAGAGAAGGGAACCUUCCCCACAAAGA
rnacentral:tRNA from 1 species